rnacentral:rRNA from 1 species
AUGGCCAUUUCACUCGGCUUCCGUUGCCUCAUGGUCUAUGGCGACUCAGAUUUGGUGGUUAAUCAAGUGAUGAAGGAGUGGGACGUCAGAAGUCCAGCCAUGACUGGUUAUUGCAAUGCAGUGAGAAAGCUGGAGAAGAAAUUCGAGGGGUUAGAACUUCAUCACAUACCCCGACUGAAAAAUCAAGCAGCUGAUGAUUUGGCGAAAAUAGGUUCCAAGAGAGAAGCCAUUCCCAGCAAUGUGUUUUUGGAACACAUCCACACACUAUCAGUUCAAGAGGAUCCCUUCACUAAAGAAGCCCCACAGCCAAAAAGUGCCACGGAUCCGACUGAAGUUGAAGUUCCAGUUGUGGUCGACCUGAUCAUGGAAGUUUUGGUCAUCACUCCCGAUUGGACGGUACCGUACAUCGCAUACAUCCUAAGGAAAGAACUCCCAGAGGACGAAGAAGAGGCUCGACAGAUCGUCCGUCGAUCCAAGGCCUUUACAGUCAUAAAGGGACAGUUGUAUAGAGAAAGCGCGACUGGAGUCAGUCAGAAGUGUGUAACACCAGAAGAAGGUCAGAUAAUCCUUGAUGAUAUCCACUCAGGGACCUGUGGUCAUCAUACGUCCUCUCGGACCAUUGUGGCUAAAGCAUACCGAGCGGCAUUCUACUGGCCAAGGGCAAAUGAAAUGGCGAAAGAGAUAGUCGACAAAUGUGAAGGAUGCCAGUUUUAG